rnacentral:rRNA from 1 species
CCUACGGGAGGCAGCAGUGGGGAAUCUUGCACAAUGGGGGCAACCCUGAUGCAGCGACGCCGCGUGAGCGAUGAAGCCCCUCGGGGUGUAAAGCUCUUUCGGCAGGAACGCGGUACCUGAAGAAGAAGCUGCGGCUAACUACGUGCCAGCAGCCGCGGUAAUACGUAGGCAGCGAGCGUUGUUCGGAAUUACUGGGCGUAAAGAGUGUGUAGGCGGUGCCCUAAGUUCGGUGUGAAAUCUCCCGGCUCAACUGGGAGGGUGCGCCGGAAACUGGGGUGCUCGAACGUGGGAGAGGAAAGCGGAAUUCCUGGUGUAGCGGUGAAAUGCGUAGAUAUCAGGAGGAACACCUGUGGUGUAGACGGCUUUCUGGACCAUGUUGACGCUGAGACACGAAAGCGUGGGUAGCAAACAGGAUUAGAUACCCUUGUAGUC